GUACACAAAAAUGCACAUGCUGUGAGCUCGAUGAGUAGGGCGGGACACGUGGUAUCCUGUCUGAAUAUGGGGGGACCAUCCUCCAAGGCUAAAUACUCCUGACUGACCGAUAGUGAACCAGUACCGUGAGGGAAAGGCGAAAAGAACCCCGGCGAGGGGAGUGAAAAAGAACCUGAAACCGUGUACGUACAAGCAGUGGGAGCACAGAGCAAUCUGUGUGACUGCGUACCUUUUGUAUAAUGGGUCAGCGACUUAUAUUCUGUAGCAAGGUUAACCGAAUAGGGGAGCCGAAGGGAAACCGAGUCUUAACUGGGCGUUAAGUUGCAGGGUAUAGACCCGAAACCCGGUGAUCUAGCCAUGGGCAGGUUGAAGGUUGGGUAACACUAACUGGAGGACCGAACCGACUAAUGUUGAAAAAUUAGCGGAUGACUUGUGGCUGGGGGUGAAAGGCCAAUCAAACCGGGAGAUAGCUGGUUCUCCCCGAAAGCUAUUUAGGUAGCGCCUCGUGAAUUCAUCUCCGGGGGUAGAGCACUGUUUCGGCAAGGGGGUCAUCCCGACUUACCAACCCGAUGCAAACUGCGAAUACCGGAGAAUGUUAUCACGGGAGACACACGGCGGGUGCUAACGUCCGUCGUGAAGAGGGAAACAACCCAGACCGCCAGCUAAGGUCCCAAAGUCAUGGUUAAGUGGGAAACGAUGUGGGAAGGCCCAGACAGCCAGGAUGUUGGCUUAGAAGCAGCCAUCAUUUAAAGAAAGCGUAAUAGCUCACUGGUCGAGUCGGCCUGCGCGGAAGAUGUAACGGGGCUAAACCAUGCACCGAAGCUGCGGCAGCGACACUGUGUGUUGUUGGGUAGGGGAGCGUUCUGUAAGCCUGCGAAGGUGUGCUGUGAGGCAUGCUGGAGGUAUCAGAAGUGCGAAUGCUGACAUAAGUAACGAUAAAGCGGGUGAAAAGCCCGCUCGCCGGAAGACCAAGGGUUCCUGUCCAACGUUAAUCGGGGCAGGGUGAGUCGACCCCUAAGGCGAGGCCGAAAGGCGUAGUCGAUGGGAAACAGGUUAAUAUUCCUGUACUUGGUGUUACUGCGAAGGGGGGACGGAGAAGGCUAUGUUGGCCGGGCGACGGUUGUCCCGGUUUAAGCGUGUAGGCUGGUUUUCCAGGCAAAUCCGGAAAAUCAAGGCUGAGGCGUGAUGACGAGGCACUACGGUGCUGAAGCAACAAAUGCCCUGCUUCCAGGAAAAGCCUCUAAGCAUCAGGUAACAUCAAAUCGUACCCCAAACCGACACAGGUGGUCAGGUAGAGAAUACCAAGGCGCUUGAGAGAACUCGGGUGAAGGAACUAGGCAAAAUGGUGCCGUAACUUCGGGAGAAGGCACGCUGAUAUGUAGGUGAAGUCCCUCGCGGAUGGAGCUGAAAUCAGUCGAAGAUACCAGCUGGCUGCAACUGUUUAUUAAAAACACAGCACUGUGCAAACACGAAAGUGGACGUAUACGGUGUGACGCCUGCCCGGUGCCGGAAGGUUAAUUGAUGGGGUCAGCGCAAGCGAAGCUCUUGAUCGAAGCCCCGGUAAACGGCGGCCGUAACUAUAACGGUCCUAAGGUAGCGAAAUUCCUUGUCGGGUAAGUUCCGACCUGCACGAAUGGCGUAAUGAUGGCCAGGCUGUCUCCACCCGAGACUCAGUGAAAUUGAACUCGCUGUGAAGAUGCAGUGUACCCGCGGCAAGACGGAAAGACCCCGUGAACCUUUACUAUAGCUUGACACUGAACAUUGAGCCUUGAUGUGUAGGAUAGGUGGGAGGCUUUGAAGUGUGGACGCCAGUCUGCAUGGAGCCGACCUUGAAAUACCACCCUUUAAUGUUU
rnacentral:rRNA from 1 species